UCCGGAGGGGGGCAGGGCGGCCUGGAUUUGAGGGCCGGCGGAGGAGGCGUGGGGGCUGGGAGUUAAGGAGACAGGGCUUUCCUUGGACCAAACCAACCCAGCAAUGCCACAUUUGAAGUGGGUUUGAGGAACCGGGUUUGCGUGCUCAUUUGAAAAAAAUCAGCCAAACAGAAAGCUGGAAGAAAUGGCAUUUUCCCAGAACCCAAGAAUAUUUUGCAUCCCAUCCACGACGCUUACAAUAACAGAAAGACCAGGAAGCUGGCAAACCACUUCCCUCUUUCCCACAGGUCUGUAAUCUCCCUGAGGGCGGGUUCAGCUCACAUAUCUUACACUCUGGUCUCAAACCUGGCUGCCCAUCAGAAUUGCUUGAUGAUUAACUAAAAUGUUUCACUUCCUCUAA